rnacentral:rRNA from 1 species
UACGUAGGGAGCAAGCGUUGUCCGGAAUCAUUGGGCGUAAAGAGCGCGUAGGCGGUCCGGUAAGUCGGUUGUGAAAACUGGGGGGCUCAACCCUCAGAGGCCGACCGAUACUGCCGGGCUAGAGUCCGGAAGAGGCGAGUGGAAUUCCUGGUGUAGCGGUGAAAUGCGCAGAUAUCAGGAGGAACACCAAUGGCGAAGGCAGCUCGCUGGGACGGUACUGACGCUGAGACGCGAAAGCGUGGGGAGCGAACAGG